CUGAUAAAAGAUAGGCCAUGUACACCUGCAAACGCGUCGGCGUCUGUCAUCAAUAGCACGCAGACUGUCUUCAACGUUACGGCUGUAACAACAACAGAUGCGGGAACAUGGUCAUGUGACUUUGGAGUUAAUGAAGUUGAGACAUGUAACUUGACAGUUGCAAAGACACCAACAUGCAGCAUCACCAGUAAGGAGGACACUGAUGUACUUGCCCAGUAGCAGGAGCUGACACUCACAGUGGACAUACAAGACUACUACUGUUCCACAGCCCUCACCUUCUCACUCCAGACCGGGAAUGUGACAACACUGCUGAUGGAAGCUGACUCUGUAUCAAGUGUUAAUCACAACACUUAUUCAGUAACCCUGAAUGUGACGGACUCCCACCUGGGGGUUGUAAGACUGAUGUUUUGCUGUGACAACAGUCAAUGGAAGCUUACUUGCAAUGGUGUGACUGAUCUUGUUCCAAAGACCCCGACAUGCAACAUCACCAGUGACAAGGACACAGAGACGCUGACCCUGUAUGAGGACGUGACACUUACAGUGGACAUUGCUGCCUACUACGACAUACGAGGUUCCUACUGUUCUGUAGAUUCAAACUUCACACUACAGACCGGGGAUGUCACACAAUUACUGAAUGUUGCUGGAACCGGGGCUGAUCAUGAUCUUUCACCAAUAACGUUUAAUGUGACUAAAAUACACUUGAGUGGUGUAAGGCUUAUAUUCAACUGUCAUCACAAACACUGGAAUCUCACCUGCGAUGGUGUAACAGAACU